UGGCCUUGACAUGCAAGUAGUAGGAACCUGAAAGGGUAACGAGGUAGCAAUACCAGCUUGCACAGGUGCUGCAUGGCUGUCGUCAGCUCGUGUCGUGAGAUGUUGGGUUAAGUCCCGCAACGAGCGCAACCCUUGUGUCCUGUUGCCACCUGAACGAGAGUUCGGAGCACUCUGGACAGAUUGCCUCAUUUAAAUGAGGAGGAAGGUGGGGAUGACGUCAAGUCAGUAUGGCCCUUACGGCCAGGGCUGCACACGUACUACAAUGCCUGGUACAACGGGAAGCAAGACCGCAAGGUGGAGCAAAUCUCUAAAAACCAGGCCCAGUUCGGAUUGUCGUCUGCAACUCGACGGCAUGAAG
rnacentral:rRNA from 1 species